UACAGAGGGUGCAAGCGUUAAUCGGAAUUACUGGGCGUAAAGCGUGCGUAGUCGGUUAUUUAAGUCGGGCGUGAAAGCCCCGGGCUCAACCUGGGAAUUGCGUUCGAUACUGGAUAGCUAGAGUUCGGCAGAGGGAAGCGGAAUUUCUGGUGUAGCGGUGAAAUGCGUAGAUAUCAGGAGGAACACCGGUGGCGAAGGCGGGAUCCUGGGCCAGUACUGACGCUGAGGAGCGAAAGCGUGGGGAGCAAACAGG
rnacentral:rRNA from 1 species